rnacentral:rRNA from 1 species
GACGAACGCUGGCGGCGUGCUUAACACAUGCCAGUCGAACGGAAAGGCCCUGCUUUUGUGGGGUGCUCGAGUGGCGAACGGGUGAGUAACACGUGAGUAACCUGCCCUUGACUUUGGGAUAACUUCAGGAAACUGGGGCUAAUACCGGAUAGGAGCUCCUGCUGCAUGGUGGGGGUUGGAAAGUUUCGGCGGUUGGGGAUGGACUCGCGGCUUAUCAGCUUGUUGGUGGGGUAGUGGCUUACCAAGGCUUUGACGGGUAGCCGGCCUGAGAGGGUGACCGGCCACAUUGGGACUGAGAUACGGCCCAGACUCCUACGGGAGGCAGCAGUGGGGAAUAUUGCACAAUGGGCGGAAGCCUGAUGCAGCAACGCCGCGUGCGGGAUGACGGCCUUCGGGUUGUAAACCGCUUUCGCCUGUGACGAAGCGUGAGUGACGGUAAUGGGCAAAGAAGCACCGGCUAACUACGUG